rfam:Sphaeroforma arctica JP610 cont1.263, whole genome shotgun sequence.
AGCCCAUUCGUCUAUCGGCUAGGAUAUAUGCUUUUCACGCAUGAGGGCGGGGUUCGAUUCCCCGAUGGGCAA